AGAGUUUGAUCCUGGCUCAGGACGAACGCUGGCGGCGCGCCUAACACAUGCAAGUCGAACGAACUUAUGGGGCUUGCCCUAUAAGUUAGUGGCGGACUGGUGAGUAACGCGUGAGUAACCUGCCUCUAAAUGGGGGACAACGGAGGGAAACUUCCGCUAAUACCGCAUAACAUUGCCUGCUGGCAUCAGUGGGCAAUCAAAGAUUUAUUGUUUAGAGAUGGACUCGCGUCCGAUUAGAUAGUUGGCGGGGUAACGGCCCACCAAGUCGACGAUCGGUAGCCGGACUGAGAGGUUGAACGGCCACAUUGGGACUGAGAUACGGCCCAGACUCCUACGGGAGGCAGCAGUGGGGGAUAUUGCACAAUGGAGGAAACUCUGAUGCAGCGACGCCGCGUGAAGGAAGAAGGUUUUCGGAUUGUAAACUUCUGUUAGCGGGGAAAAAAAUGAUGGUACCCGCAGAGAAAGCCACGGCUAACUACGUGCCAGCAGCCGCGGUAAUACGUAGGUGGCGAGCGUUGUCCGGAAUUACUGGGUGUAAAGGGAGUGUAGGCGGGACGAUAAGUUUGGAGUGAAAUGCUGUGGCUUAACCACGGAACUGCUUUGAAAACUGUCGUUCUUGAGUGUUGCAGGGGCAAGCGGAAUUCCCGGUGUAGCGGUGGAAUGCGUAGAUAUCGGGAGGAAUACCGGUGGUGAAGGCGGCUUGCUGGACAAUAACUGACGCUGAGGCUCGAAA
rnacentral:rRNA from 1 species